AGAACGAACGCUGGCGGCAUGCCUAACACAUGCAAGUCGAACGAGACCUUCGGGUCUAGUGGCGCACGGGUGCGUAACGCGUGGGAAUCUGCCCUUGGGUUCGGGAUAACAGUUGGAAACGACUGCUAAUACCGGAUGAUGACUUCGGUCCAAAGAUUUAUCGCCCAGGGAUGAGCCCGCGUAGGAUUAGCUUGUUGGUGAGGUAAAAGCUCACCAAGGCGACGAUCCUUAGCUGGUCUGAGAGGAUGAUCAGCCACACUGGGACUGAGACACGGCCCAGACUCCUACGGGAGGCAGCAGUGGGGAAUAUUGGACAAUGGGCGAAAGCCUGAUCCAGCAAUGCCGCGUGAGUGAUGGAGGCCUUAGGUUGUAAAGCUCUUUACCCGGGAUGAUAAUGACAGUACCGGAGAAUAAGCCCGGCUAGCUCCGCGCCAGCAGCCGC
rnacentral:rRNA from 1 species